GCAGCUGUAAAGGGGGAGACAGAGCGACUUCUUGUAUCUGCCCUCGCACUGGCGCCCUCCUAUGGGGAGGCCUACAGAAGAGCCUUCUUUCCUCGACUAAGACUGGGAAAGUGGGAGCAGGGGUCGGAGAAGGGCAGGGAGGUGGGGAGCCUGGGAAGUGUGAGGCCUGGAGCAGGCUCUGGGUGGAGAGAGGGUUGGAAGGAAGAACAGGGAGAAAGACAGGACCGGUUGGGGGGCGUGGCCAGGGUACCCGGAGUGGCUUCGGAUGGAAGGGGUGUGGCAUAGGCUGGAGUAUUUGGUUUGCGAUAAAUGGGGUGGGGCCUGGGAACAGAAGAUGAAGUGCGACCAGCUGGAGAAGAGGAAGAGGAACUUGUGCUCAAGCAGAGACAAGUUGAGGUGCCUUUGGUGGUGGUCUCCAACACCCCCUCUGCAGCAGAGAAAGAGGCGGUGGAGGCUGCAAGUGGGGCUGUGACAGUGCCGGCACUCCAGCUGCGGCGGCCUGGCCCUGGAGUGGUGGGCUCGGACCCAAGGCUGCAGGCUCGCGAGCAGAAGAUUAGGCCUCGGCGUGGCAGGAAUGGACGGCCCAGUAGGGCCCGCCCGCAGCGACUACAGCAGAAGCAGCGCUCUGAGGCAUGCCAGUGCUGGCCCUCGUAAGCCAUCUGGCCUUGGUCCAGGCCUGUGGGGACCAACAAGGGGGAAAAAUGGAAUCAGAAUCCCCGGGCAUACCCCUACCCCUUGUGAAUGGGUCCCUUCUCAGGAAGAGGUGGGGAAUCUGAGGCAAGGCACUCCUGGGCACCUUCCUCCUCCAAAUGGGGCCCUUCUGGAGAAAGCAGGAAACGGGUUUUGGUUCUCUCCUGGAGACUGGCUGGUGAACCUCUCUCUCACUCCUUCCUUUCUUUCACAGGGUGCUCUCUCCCAGAGCGGCGUGGGCAUUGGAUUCUAAGAUCCAGGCCAGGCUUAGACAUUAAGGAGAGUGGAAGGCUGGGCCCUAAGAGGAGGCCUGGCUGGUGGGGGCAGGGCUUGGAAGGUGGGGUGUGGCCCUCAUGAGAAAGGAGUGGGUCUCACAGGGUAGGGUGAGCUAGAAGCUAGGCCUGACCUAGGCUGAUGCAGGAGAGUGGACGAGAACAGGGCAUAGCUUGGGGUGGUGGAGGCUAGCCUUAGGAGGAGCCCUGGGGCAGGAAUUAGAGCACCCUCUGGAGGUGGGUCUAGACGUGUGGUGGUAGCCCAGCAUUGUGUGGGUGGGAUUUAGAAAGCAUGGCAUAGUGGGGACAUUGGGAGUGGGACUUGCAAUCAAGCAUACAGGCCUACAGUGUUGGGGCUGGACAAAGCGCAGAGCACAGUGCAGGGUGGGACCUGGUGCAUGGUCCAGCCCCCCAGGGUCUAGUGGGUGUUCUUCUGUGUGCGGAGAUGAUAGGUGGUAGAAAAGAAAGACACAAGACACAGAGAUAAGAGAAGAGUUCAGCUGGGCCGGGGGGACCACUGCUAUCAAGGGGCGGAGUCCAGCAGUGGCCCUCCCACCCCCCCAGGCCCAACUGAAUUCUUCUCUUAUCUCUGUGUCUUAUGUCUUUCUUUUCUACCAUCUAUCAUCUCCGCACAUAAAAGAACACCCACUAGACCCUGUGAGGCUGGACCCUGCAGCCUGGACAGGAGGUGUCCUGUUGGGGUGGAGCUGUGGCCCAGUUGUCCAUCCAUCCCUCUGUCCAUUCCCACCGCAUUCACCCACCAAUGUGCUCCCCACAGCCAUCACAGUACUCCGCAUGGCGGGCCUCAUAGCAGGUGCAACAGUGGGGGCGGCUCUGACGCAUUACAUAGCGCUGCCCUCCUAGCGAAGCUUCACACUCGAAGCAGCAGAAGUGAUCCAUAUGCCAGUGGCGGCCCUCAGCUUCCGUGCACUCAGGGGAAAAGAUGAUCUGGAGGGCACAGGCCAUCUGUGGCUGUCAGAUGAGCCUGCCCCUGGCCCUACCCAUCCUCCACUCCCACCCCUGGGCAGGGAGGCCCAAACCUCAUCACAGGCUUGGCAGCGUGGACGCAGGCAUUCGGCAUGGUGACGCCCGCAAUAGACCUUUCCAGCAUGGUAGAAGUAGAUGAGGUCAACCAGAAGCUCCCGGCACGUGGUGCACAAAAAGCACUGUGGGUGCCAGCAGGCACCCAGGCCCGCACGGCUGGCAAACACUGCGAUGUCCCCACCUCCAAUCUGCUUCCCGCACUGCCAGGAGACAAGCACCAAGAUGGUUACCAUCACUGUCACCAAGAUGGUCAGAUGGAUGGGGUCAACCAAAGUGUGUUACACUUGGGCCUUUCCCCUGGCAAACCUUUGUGACUGGCCCCACCCAUGGGGUAACUUUGAGACAGGCCCUGCCUACACCAGGGAUGGGGUUAGGAGGUACCUUAGAGACUGAGCCUGCUCAUGGUGGAAGCCACAGAGACAGGCCCUACCCAUGGUGGGUGGCCUUACAGACAAGCCUCCCUCCUCAGGGGUGGGGAAGACAGACAGGCCAGGCCUAGUGGGGGAAACCACAGAGAUAGUCACCACCCACUGGGACCUUAGCAAUAGAUCUCACCUAACAGGAGUAUCUAAGGAUAGGCCUUGCCCAUCACUGGGCUCUGCAGACAGGCCCUGCCACUGUGGGUCAGCUCUUGAGGACAAGUUCUGACCACAGGAGGACCAAAGAGACAGCCCAUGCCCCAUGUUCACUGCACAGAAGGGGAGAAAACCACACACGACAGUGGGAUCGAUGGGACAGGUCCCUGUUCACUAGGGGUUGCCUUAGAGACAGUCCCUGCCCAACAGUGAGAUGUGAGGAAGAGACCCCACCCAGGAGAAGGUACCCCGCCCAGCAGAAGGGACCCUAGAGACAGCCCACUGGGGCUUCAGUGGCAGGCCUCAUCUUCCCACUGCCUGGAAGAUGUGCCCUGCUCCUCAGGGCUUGGAGCAGAGGCAAUGCUCACUCGCUGAGGCCCUCCAUGGCUCACCUCCUCACAGAUGGCCCCAGUGAUAGUCACCGGGAAGAUGCGCACAAUGCCACGCCCCAGAUUCUCCCGCUUCCGCUGCUGGCUGAAGGCUCUGAGCUCUUUCUUCUCCUCCUCUUCCAAUGCGGUACAGUACUGUGCCUGGGAGGAGAGAGAAGGCAUCUCCCAGGCUCCUCCCUUAAUAUCUGUCCCCACCCCUCUUCCAGACUUCAUCGGUGCCCUGAAGUUUACUUCUAGGUCUUUCUAUAGAUGGUGCCUCCUGCCUGAAGUACCCACCUCUUCCUCCAAGCCCCAGCUGUGGUUUUGUCAAGGAAUGUCCCAUGAUGGUCCCUGCCUGUCUGGACCACUCACCUCCGAUCAGCUCGCCUUUCCUCUUCUGACCCUGCCCAGCAUUGGCCCAGGCUGUGCCCCAUGCCUGGCAUGCCCUUCCUGUCUUCUCUCUCCUCACCUCACUGUCGUGUGGGGGCAGCUGGUGCAGCAGCUGCUUGAUCCUGUAUUUCUCCCCAGGACUGUUGACGUAGGGGACCUUGUCCUCUGGGAGGCAGCUGAAAAAUUGAUACACCUGGGAGGACAUAGGAGUGGGAGAAAACAGCUCAAAUGAGAGAGUUUUGCUCUUCUUGCCCAGGCUGGAGUGCAAUGCCACGAUCUCGGCUCACUGCAACCUCCACCUCCCAGGUUCAAGCACUUCUCUUGCUUCAGCCUCCCGAGUAGCUAGGAUUACAGGCAUGCACCACCAUGCCCAGGUAAUUGUUUUGUAUUUUUAGUAGAGAUGGGGUUUCUCCAUGUUGGUCAGGCUGGUCUGGAACUCCCGACCUCAGGUGAUCUGCCCGCCUCGGCCUCCCAAAGUGUUGGAAUUACAGGCAUGAGCCAUUGUGUCUGGCCUUUUUUUUUUUCUUUUUUGAGACAGGGUCUCACUCUGUCACCCAGGCUGAGGGCAGUAGCAGGAUCGAAGCUCACCACAACCUCCACUUCCUGAGUUCAAGCAAUUCUCCUGCCUCAGCCUCCUGAGUAGCUAGGAUUACAGGCAUACACUGCCAUACCUGGCUCCUUUUUGUACUUUUAGUAGGGAUGGUAUUUUGCCAUGUCUUAAGUAAUUUGCCCACCUCAGUUUCCCAAAGUGCUGGGGUUACAGGUGUGAGCCACCAUGCCCCUGGGCAGAUAUGUUAUUUUGUGUUCUUUUCCCAGAAAGUGUUUUGCUCACUGCUGUGUCCUCAGGGCCUAGAACAGUGUCUCACAUGCAGUAGGUGUCCCAUAACUAUGUGUUGAGUGACUCAAUGAAGUCAUGUGGUGAAUGAAGUGCUGGAAGGGUAGGAUAGGGAGUGGGGCCAGGCAUGGUAGCUUGCUCCUGUAAUCCAAACAUUUUGGGAGGCUGAGGCAAGAGGAUCACUUGAGCCAGGAGUUCCAGAGCAGCCUGGGCAACAUAGGGAGACCCUGUCUCUACAAAAGCUUAAAAAAGUUAGCCAGGCAUGGUGGCAUGUGCCUGCAGUCCCAGCUAUGCGGGAGGCUGUGGUGGGCAACAGAGUGAGACUGUCUCAAAAACAAACAAAAAGAAUAGGAUUGGGGUGAACAGGCCCUGAGGAACUGGUCCCUCAAUCAUCCAAGGUGUGGGGGGGCUGACUGCUCCUCCAUCACAGAAGGGCCAGAAGGAUCCUCAUCUGACUGCACACUCUAGCAUAGCUCCAGAAAUAGGUUCCCACAUGAGUGUGUGUGUGUGAGCAUGAGUGUGCACCCACUGGACAGCAAGAGUGGAGGGCUGGCCUCUGGUCACCUGC